GUAGGGAAUAUUGGACAAUGGGGGGAACCCUGAUCCAGCCAUGCCGCGUGGAGGAAGACUGCCCUCUGGGUUGUAAACUCCUUUUAUAUGGGAAGAACCGUCCUCAUUAAUGAGUGACCUGACGGUACCAUAGGAAUAAGCACCGGCUAACUCCGUGCCAGCAGCCGCGGUAAUACGGAGGGUGCAAGCGUUAUCCGGAUUCACUGGGUUUAAGGGUGCGUAGGCGGAUAAAUAAGUCAGUGGUGAAAUCAACGGGCUCAACCUGUUAACUGCCAUUGAUACUGUGUAUCUUGAAUAUGAGAGAGGUAGGCGGAAUGUUGCAUGUAGCGGUGAAAUGCUUAGAUAUGCUACGGAACACCGAUUGCGAAGGCAGCUUACUAUUUCGUAAUUGACGCUGAGGCACGAAAGCGUGGGUAGCGAACAGGAUUAGAAACCCCUGUAGUCC
rnacentral:rRNA from 1 species